AGACAAGGAAUUUUCUUCAGGACUGUUUCCCUCUGGCAGGCUCUGGUAUUAUCACUGAGAAUGGUCCCGUGUGUGUGUGCGUGUGUGUUGUGUUUACAACUUCUGUCCAAGUCUUCUUUCUUUUUCCUCUACCUUUGUGUGACAUUUGAUUUCUCCGCAGGGCUCUGAAUCCCAGUCCUGGUGCGUGUGUGUGCGUGUAUGUGGUGUGUGUGUGUGUGUAUGUGUUUGUUGGGGCAGUAGGGGAGGACACUGAAGCAGCACGGUCUGCUCUGAGUCGCUGUGUGUCUGAAACUGUCUAGGGAGAAGCUGCUGCCCAUUUUACAGAUGGCACCUUCGGAAGACAAUGCUGAGCCAGGACCAGCUGCUGAAUGACUCUCACCUGCCUGCCCCCAACUCUGAUGACUGGAGAUGACUUUCUUCGUGGCUGAGAGCGUAGGGAGGCACGUGUGGGGGCCCGGAGCCUUUGCUUCUGUGGGGAGCUGGCACACAGCCCCCUCUGCAAGCCCAGUCCGGGCGGGCAGGGUGUCUCAGACAGGGUGCCGACAGGCAUGAAGCAGAGCUGUGGGACAGGUGUCCAGGGGUGGCCCCAG
rnacentral:sRNA from 1 species